AGGACAUGGCAACCCACACCAGUAUUCUUGCUUGAAGAAUCCCAUGGACAGAGGAGGCUGGGAUGAGUGCACGUCCUUCUACUGGACUAUCUUGAACCAGAAGCCAGAAGCCAGUCAUAACCACUGGACCACCAGAGAAGUCCUAAUACCCCCACCCCAUGUUUUUAAAUUGAUGUUUCAUGUGUGAAUAAUAAUAACAAAAGUUACUUUGUGCCAA